rnacentral:lncRNA from 1 species
GCUGUCCACAGGGAAGAGCUAGCUGGGUGCCAGAGGCCACUGUUGCCACCCACAGGCCCUGCUCACCUGGCAGGUCCAGAGGGCACACGAGCUGGCAUGCCCAGAGCCCUCUGCCCCACCACCCGUCCCACUCAGGGCUUCACCGUCAGACCUGCCUUUCCCUGCCUCAGCCAGUGGUGGUGACAAGCUGACCUCUGAACUUCUACCUGAUCCCUCCUAGCCCCCC